rnacentral:rRNA from 1 species
UGGGGUAUAUUGAGCAAUGGGCGCAAGCCUGACCCAGCAACGCCGCGUGAGGGAAGAAGGCCUUCGGGUUGUAAACCUCUGUCCUUGGUGACGAAACAAAUGACGGUAGCCAAGGAGGAAGCCCCGGCUAACUACGUGCCAGCAGCCGCGGUAAUACGUAGGGGGCGAGCGUUGUCCGGAAUUACUGGGCGUAAAGGGUGCGUAGGUGGCCUUUUAAGUUGGAUGUGAAAUACCCGGGCUUAACUUGGGGGGUGCAUCUAAUACUGGGAGGCUAGAGUGCAGGAGAGGGAAGCGGAAUUCCUAGUGUAGCGGUGAAAUGCGUAGAUAUUAGGAGGAACACCAGUGGCGAAGGCGGCUUUCUGGACUGUAACUGACACUGAGGCACGAAAGCGUGGGGAGCAAACAG